GUACUCGCUUCGGCGGUACAUAUACUAAAAUUGGAACGAUACAGAGAAGAUUAGCAUGGCCCCUGCGCAAGGAUGUUUAUGGUCCAUAUAAAUUGUAAACACCCUC